rnacentral:sRNA from 2 species
CAUAUCUCCAAAGGGGAGUAGCGUCCAAGAAUAUUUCUUGGAAACAAAGUCGUCAUUACGUAGAACUUAGUUCUUCCGGCUUUGUUGGCAUUUUUUAUUACAUAUGUCUAGCAAGACCUUUGCCUAUUAACGGCAGAGGUCUUUUUUGCAUUCACUUCCAGAUUCUUCCAAAGUU